AUAAAUAUUGAACGAGAAAAUCUUCGAUCAUGACAAACACGAAUUGCCAUGAUUAGUUUAAGAAUUACAGUAUGUACCCAAGUGUUGCGUUAGUUCAUUUGGUGCAGUGGUUUCGUCAGUACUCAGUAGUAAUAGACGAAGGAUAAUAGAAGUAAGUGAUAUUGCUGAAUUUGGAUUUGGUUUUUUGAGCAAUGGUUUUUGCUGGUGUUUGCUUUGCACCCUUAAAUCCCCUCCUCUUAUCACCACGAAGACCAAAACCAUCAACCUCCAACUCUUUUUCUUCUCGCAAUCCCAAAAAAAUUACCAACAUAAAUAAAAGCCCUAACAAUCAAAUCCCAUCAAUUAAUUGUUUGAGCAAGAGAAAGCUCAACCUCUCCAUUGUUGCCCUAAUCUUAUCUGUCCAUUUACCCGCCAUUUCUAAAGCCACUUCUGAAGAGUUAAAGCUUCAACGAUACAUAGAUUCCAAUGUGGGUUUCACUCUCCUCAUACCAUCGUCUUGGAUUAAGGUUGAUAAAGCAGGGGCGACCGUUCUGUUCGAGGAGGCAAACAAGGGGGCUAACAAUGUAGGGGUUGUGGUCAACCCAGUUCGUCUUACAAACCUCGGAGAAUUCGGUACUCCUAGAUUUGUUGCGGACAAGCUUAUUGAGGCUGAAAAGCGCAAGGAAAGUACAAAGGAUGCUGAGGUGAUUGCAUUUACUGAGAGAUCAGGCCAGGGAGGCCUACAAGUGUACGAGUUUGAGUACAAAGUUGAUAGCACCAGAGGAGGAAUGAAGAGAAUUUUUUCGGCUGCAUUUGUGUCUUCUAAGAAGCUCUACCUCCUAAAUAUCACUCACUCUGACAAACCAGAGUCUCCUCUUGACACCGAUAAAAGAAUGAUGUUGGAAAAAGUUCUUCAUUCUUUUGAUGCUGCACCUUUAACAUGAGAAACGUCAAGGUAAAAACUUUUAUUGGACGAUUUCAUGUUAGAUCCACUCAAUGCUCAAAGCCACAGGUGGCAACGCUCGAGCACUAUAUAUGAUCUUCAUGGAGUCUGAAUGGUAAAGAAUUAUCCUACAAUCGUUUUCUCAAGAUUAAGGGUAUUGAUACGAGGAUACCAUAUCUCUUCAGCAUUACAGUCUUUAUCUCUCUUCAACAUUCAUAUUUUUUUAUCAGUAGGGAAAUGGUAAUUACCCAAAUAAGGUAGAAAAGUCGAUUUAUUUACUGAUUUUAAUCCAAUUUAAAAUAAUUCAAAAGUGUCCAUUUGGUGGGCUCCUCUUUGAUGUUUGUAAUUGUAUUGGUGAUGCACAUUAUAGUUAUUAGUCUCCUGUGGAUGCAAUUGACUGGGAUCUUAUCUAUUGAUGUGUAAUGAUUGUGGCAUU